rnacentral:rRNA from 1 species
UACGAAGGGUGCAAACGUUGCUCGGAAUUAUUGGGCGUAAAGCGCACGUAGGCGGCUUAGCAAGUCGGAUGUGAAAUCCCUCGGCUCAACCAAGGAAGUGCAUCCGAAACUGCUGAGCUUGAGUACUUAAGAGGAUCGCGAAUUCCCGGUGUAGAGGUGAAAUUCGUAGAUAUCGGGAGGAACACCAGUGGCGAAGGCGGCUAUCUGGACCUCAACUGACGCUGAGGCGCGAAAGCGUGGGGAGCAAACAGGAUUAGAAACCCCGGUA